AGUGAACGCUGGCGGCGUGCCUAAUACAUGCAAGUCGAACGACCAGACAAGAAGCUUGCGCCUCUACCGGUGGCGACUGACGGAUGGGUAACGAAUGGAUAGCAUUCCUCUUAUUCGUGGGUGACUUCGGAGAGACACUUAUACUAACACCUCAUAUGUUCAACGGCAUAAUUCAGUAGUUAUAGGCGGUUUUCCUGUCAGUUAUAGCUGAAUCCGUGCCGGAUUAGCUAGUUGGUAAGGUAACGGCUUACCAAGGCAACGAUGCGUAGCCGAUCUGAGAGGGUGAUCAGCCACACUGGAACUGAGACACGGUCCAGACUCCUACGGGAGGCAGCAGUAGGGAAUCUUGCACAAUGGGCGAAAGCCUGAUGCAGCAAUGCCGCGUGAGUGAUGAAGGCCUUCGGAUUGUAAAACCCUUUUGUUAGGGAAGAACAAAAGCGGAAGUAACUACGGACGUCCUGACGGUACCCAAAGAGAAAGCCCCGGCUAACUUCGUG
rnacentral:rRNA from 1 species